rnacentral:lncRNA from 1 species
GUGGCCGUUACAGUGGACACACUUUCCUUUGCCAGUGACCUUUCGUUUCUUCAUGGACUUUUCUUUUUCUAAUUAGACUUUCUAUUGGUAGAAGUAGCCUGCUCCACAAUGAGAACUGUGCACCUUAAAUCCUUCAAGGCCUCUUUAGCAGUUACCAAUCUUGGUGCAAUCAAUUUUAUUCAUAUGAUAGUUUACUAUAAACUGUCCAUACGAAUCAAGAAGG